CAUAUUGCCUCCAUUGACUAAAUUUUUGGAUACGCCUGGUAUACAGGUGUCUAUUGUAUAAUGCAUGAGACUCUAAAGCUUGCAUUGUUUGCAUUUUGAUCACCGAAUUGAAUGGAGAUGAUUAGGAAAAUUAACAAGGGAUUUAUAUAGAAAGAAAGUCUUUAUCAUAUUAAUUAUUUUUUUUCAUCUUUAUCAUAUUAAUUAUUUUUUUUCA
rnacentral:misc_RNA from 1 species